AUCUGAAGAUCAUAUUAUCUAUUCCAAUGCAAGAAUGGAUACCAAAGAAGAAGAUAUUUGUUAUCUUGACCAUUUAUUAUCUGCAAUUAUAUCCAACCAAGUGCAUGGAUCGGAAGAUAUGGCUAAGGAAUUAUGUAAGAUACUUUGGAAUUACAGUGAUCACCACUGUGAAUAUUGUGUUGUUGAAGAUAUGAGCCAAGCAUCUCUUAACGAUGAAGAAUUCCCUGCAGAAUUCUUUGAUUCAAAAAUGGAGAAAUGAUGGUGAUUGAAGUAGCCCUUUAUCACUACUUUAAUAAUGAAAUUUAUUAAAGAAAAACUGUGGCUACUAAAAGACAAGAAAUAAUAUUAGAAAGUCUCCAUUAUUGUGACCACUUACCCACUAAUUAACACAAGUGGCAGACAAACUCAAAAGAUAAGGCACAUAAUCUUCAAAAGAGAGGUCCACAUAGCAAGAAGACAAUGAAGAAUUCGGUGGAGAUAAGAUGCCUUGCUACCUAACAAAGAAAGUGGAAGACACCUGUCCAAGAUAAGAUUCCAAACUCUCCUAUAAAAGGGGACAUGAAGGAAGAAGGAAGAUAUCUCGAAAUACCUUGAAAUAACUUCUCUUAAACACAUUUGAGAGAAAUCUUUUGUAAUCUGAUUACACUACUUGUAUUCAGAAAAAUAUUAGAUAGCUUGAAGAUAGGAAAGCGUGUAAUAAGGUAAUCACUUAUGGAGUUCUAAACUUCAUAAGGUGAGUACCAAAGGUAUGUAAAUAUAGUUUGUAAGCAUGUACAAUUUCAGUUUAUGAAUAUCAAAGUAAAGUUUGUUAUGUUCAACAAAGUUUCCAUAAAAGGAUUUCGUUAAGCUUCUCAUGAUUCCUCGGCAGUACAGAUAGAGAUUUUAAAAGAUUUUCAAAACAUUGAUUUUGAAUGGAUGUUAGCCAUGCUAAAGUACCCGUCUUUGAUGAAUGGUUUAGGGGAAAAAGGCAGUUUUCUAACAAAAAUUU
rnacentral:lncRNA from 1 species